AGUAGCUGCACAAGUAAGUACAAUUGUGUGGAUAAGAAAGUAGAUAAGGGUGAAGGAUAGGGAAGGUGAGAGAGUGGUCUACAGGUGUAGGGGAAGAGUCUCACAUAAGGUGGACUACUCUGGGAAGAUGGUAGGAUAGCAGGGAGGCCAGUAAAAGCAAACCGAUAGGAUAGCCUCUGGCAAUCUGCCAGCCAGUUCAGUGGCAAAAUGCCCAAAAAUUACAUUUUUCCUUUGUGGGCCCCACUGUUUUGUAGGGUAAUUCUACCCAUUCUUACCAUGGAUUGAGGCAUGAAUAAGGGGGUCAUAAUGCAACUAGUUUCAUGUUAAACUUUAAUUUCUAUUAUGAGUUAUUUACGUUUAAUUACUUAGAAAAAAUGGGAUUUAUCAACGAAAUAACAGACCCUAAGUCUGUUUAGCUAUAUAAAAGGGGUAGGUCGGCUACUUUUUCCUUUCCUUUACUGCCUCAUACGAGGGAAAAUAGGGAGGAGAAAGAAAGGAGAAGGAAAGGAGGAGAGAAAGAAGAAGAUAGGAAGAAGGAGGUUAUAGAGAGGGAGUGCUGCUAUUCCUCUCCGUUGCAUUCUCUACUUCUACUACUGCUCCUCUCUAUUAUCACUACUGCUGCUGUACCUGCACUCUCAGAUACUACCAGUAGUGGAAGGAUGUUGCGAAAAGGUGCUCCAGAGCUGUAUAGCUUCAUGUGGAUUGCUUGUACACACCCAGGAACAUUAAAAGGUAAUUACCUAAACCCAACUAAGUGAAUUAAGCUAGGUUAGGAAUUGGCAAGGCAUAGGGUUAGUAUAAAAAUGAAAUUAGGUGAGAGAAAUUACUGAUGGGAAAUCAGUACAGUUUUCAACAGCAACAAGCCCAACUUCUGGACCCUAAUUGUAACCCAAUUAACUGCAGUAUUAUCCCCAAAACCCUAAACCAUGGGGCUUUUUGCAAUUGAACUAAAUUAAUUGCAAUUGGUGGUGGGAGUUGCUCACACAUGACCCUAAUUUUGCCCAAGGGUAGGCAAAAAAUUUAGUUGGAAUACCCAGGGUGCAAAUUGGGAAAAAAGAUACCUUAUUGGUUUAAUACAGUGCUCAGAGACCCAAUUUAAAUUGGGAAAUGGACUCUAAAGGUGUAGGGAAUUUAUUUGAAGUUGGUAUGAUGUAAUACCUCUGCUGUGAACUGCCCAGCAAGGCCUAUUAUGCCAGGGGAACUGGUCAGCCGAUAGAUGUCUAAGCAGCCUGCAUUGAGGCUCUUAUCAAGUUUUCAAAAUGAUUCAAAAUGUAUUUUUUGUUUCUCCCUUGGAUUGCAGUGAGUGUGAUAUUAAUGUUAUAACAGGCAUGGAGAUUUAGUGUGGGUUUAAUAAUCUCAGUUCCUAUUCUGAAACUUUUAUUUUUGGGUUUUGUAGGAUGAUGGACCAAGGCCCCUAAGCUUCUAGGAUUCCAUAUCAUCGCCUAAAGCAAGUCUGCCAUCCCCAAAAUCUUCUGCCCCAAAAAAGUAUGGGUAGUAAUGGGCUACUCUCAUGAUUUUAUGUCUCUGAGUUACCAUGUCUAUGUUUAAAAUGCAUGGUCCUAAAGGCUUAAGUUGUUGUUUCACUUAUAAUUUCAUUGCUUAAAUGUAGCCAACACCAAUUUCCAAGGAGAUAGAGAUAGAACAUUCUCCAUUGGGAAAACUAUGAGAAGCAGAGUUGGUCCUUUAAAGGAUUACUUGUGUCAGAUCAUUGCCAUCUAUUGCUCUAUUGUUAUUAUUAUGCUUAGUUUUCUACUGAAGAUUGCUUUAAAGGGUUACUUAUAUCUUUUAUGGUUAGGUUAAGUUUAUUUAUAAUAAUUUUCUUGAUGAUUUUGUAGUUAAAUGUAAGCAUCUUUCUGAGGUUCGUGUGAAGACCUGCAGAGUGUUUUAGGGAUCUUGCUUCCAAUAAACAUAUUUAAAAUCAAAUUUGGUCGAUAGGUACAGCAGCAGGUCAACAUGUGCAGUAGGAUUUCAAUAAGAUUUCAGCUUAGACAGCACCUUGCACCUCUCAUCUUGGCUUGCAUGCACCCUUUUCUACAACAGCAGCAGCAUCAUCUCAAUACCGCAAAUAAGAGGGCUCAACAUGAGCAGCAGGAAGCAUGUAGCUGCAGCCCCAAGAAAAUAUAUUAACAGCAGCCCUUCUCUCCUCCUUUUCUUCUUGUUUCUGUUCUCGGCAGUAAGGGAGUGGCAACAGAGAUGCACAUGAGCUCAGAAGCAAGGGAAACAAUAUAUUUAAGUAUUGGGUGUUGAAUGGAAAUAAGAAUCAUGGGCACCUUAACCUAAUGAUAUUUUGAUUGCUGAAUGGAGUGCAAGGUGGAACAGCCAAGAUACCCUGCCUUCUACGACAAUUAAGGAGUUAGUGUAGAAGAUGAAGUUCUCUCUCAUCCCUUUCAGGUUAUGAAUGGUAGUUCUGUCACGCCCCCUUCACACAGAACCGGACCGGUGACCGGGUUAACUCCGGUUAA